UCUGUUUGAUCCUGGCUCAGGAUGAACGCUAGCGACAGGCUUAACACAUGCAAGUCGAGGGGCAGCACAGGUAGCAAUACCGGGUGGCGACCGGCGCACGGGUGAGUAACGCGUAUGCAACUUACCUAUCAGAGGGGGAUAACCCGGCGAAAGUCGGACUAAUACCGCAUGAAGCAGGGGCCCCGCAUGGGGAUAUUUGCUAAAGAUUCAUCGCUGAUAGAUAGGCAUGCGUUCCAUUAGGCAGUUGGCGGGGUAACGGCCCACCAAACCGACGAUGGAUAGGGGUUCUGAGAGGAAGGUCCCCCACAUUGGUACUGAGACACGGACCAAACUCCUACGGGAGGCAGCAGUGAGGAAUAUUGGUCAAUGGGCGUAAGCCUGAACCAGCCAAGUCGCGUGAGGGAUGAAGGUUCUAUGGAUCGUAAACCUCUUUUAUAAGGGAAUAAAGUGCGGGACGUGUCCCGUUUUGUAUGUACCUUAUGAAUAAGGAUCGGCUAACUCCGUGCCAGCAGCCGCGGUAAUACGGAGGAUCCGAGCGUUAUCCGGAUUUAUUGGGUUUAAAGGGUGCGUAGGCGGCCUUUUAAGUCAGCGGUGAAAGUCUGUGGCUCAACCAUAGAAUUGCCGUUGAAACUGGGGGGCUUGAGUAUGUUUGAGGCAGGCGGAAUGCGUGGUGUAGCGGUGAAAUGCAUAGAUAUCACGCAGAACCCCGAUUGCGAAGGCAGCCUGCUAGGGUGCGACAGACGCUGAGGCACGAAAGCGUGGGUAUCGAACAGGAUUAGAUACCCUGGUAGUCCACGCAGUAAACGAUGAAUACUAACUGUUUGCGAUACAAUGUAAGCGGUACAGCGAAAGCGUUAAGUAUUCCACCUGGGGAGUACGCCGGCAACGGUGAAACUCAAAGGAAUUGACGGGGGCCCGCACAAGCGGAGGAACAUGUGGUUUAA
rnacentral:rRNA from 1 species